rnacentral:rRNA from 1 species
UACGUAGGGUGCGAGCGUUGUCCGGAAUUACUGGGCGUAAAGAGCUCGUAGGUGGUUUGUCGCGUUGUUCGUGAAAACCGGGGGCUUAACCCUCGGCGUGCGGGCGAUACGGGCAGACUUGAGUACUGCAGGGGAGACUGGAAUUCCUGGUGUAGCGGUGGAAUGCGCAGAUAUCAGGAGGAACACCGGUGGCGAAGGCGGCCUGCUGGAUCCUCACUGACGCUGAGGCGCGAAAGCCAGGGUAGCGAACGGG